rnacentral:rRNA from 1 species
GACGAACGCUGGCGGCGUGCUUAACACAUGCAAGUCGAACGGUAAGGCUCCAGCUUGCUGGGGUACACGAGUGGCGAACGGGUGAGUAACACGUGGGUGACCUGCCCUGCACUUCGGGAUAAGCCUGGGAAACUGGGUCUAAUACCGGAUGGGACCGCACCGUGAGGGUGUGGUGGAAAGUUUUUUCGGUGUGGGAUGGGCCCGCGGCCUAUCAGCUUGUUGGUGGGGUAAUGGCCUACCAAGGCGGCGACGGGUAGCCGGCCUGAGAGGGUGGACGGCCACAUUGGGACUGAGACACGGCCCAGACUCCUACGGGAGGCAGCAGUGGGGAAUAUUGCACAAUGGGCGGAAGCCUGAUGCAGCGACGCCGCGUGGGGGAUGACGGCCUUCGGGUUGUAAACUCCUUUCACCAUCGACGAAGGGUUUCUGACGGUAGAUGGAGAAGAAGCACCGGCUAACUACGUGCCAGCAGCCGCGGUAAUACGUAGGGUGCGAGCGUUGUCCGGAAUUACUGGGCGUAAAGAGCUCGUAGGUGGUUUGUCGCGUCGUCUGUGAAAUUCCGGGGCUUAACUCCGGGCGUGCAGGCGAUACGGGCAUAACUUGAGUACUGUAGGGGAGACUGGAAUUCCUGGUGUAGCGGUGAAAUGCGCAGAUAUCAGGAGGAACACCGGUGGCGAAGGCGGGUCUCUGGGCAGUAACUGACGCUGAGGAGCGAAAGCAUGGGGAGCGAACAGG